rnacentral:tRNA from 1 species
AAGACAUUAGUAAACAUGCACAUUACAUCACCUUGUCAAGAUGAAAUCACAGGUUAAACUCCUGUAUGUCUUA